GAUGAACGCUAGCGGUGUGCCUAAGGCAUGCAAGUCGAACGGGAUCCUUUGGAUUCGUCUGAAGGUGAGAGUGGCGAACGGGUGAGUAACACGUAGGUGACCUGCCCCGGAGAGGGGGACAACCACUGGAAACGGUGGCUAAUACCCCAGAUGUUAUUGCGCUUAGAAAGCAAUUACUAAAGUUCCGGCGCUCCGGGAGGGGCCUGCGGCCCAUCAGCUUGUGUAAGUAUGGCUUACCAAGGCUAAGACGGUAGGGGGCGUGAGAGCGUGACCCCCCANACUGGUACUGAGACACGGACCAGAUACCUGCGGGUAGCAGCAGCAAGGAAUAUUGCCCAAUGGACGAAAGUCUGAGGCAGCAACACCGCGUGGAGGAUGAAGGCC
rnacentral:rRNA from 1 species